GUCCGCAAUAAUCAUGAUAAUGUGUAAGAAUAUUUUAACUUGAAUUUGAAUUUUGACCAACUUCAGUUUUUUUUCUGUUCAAUUAUUUUGUUCGUGUAUUCAUUUGACAGUUUGAGAUAUGACAUGUGAAUCAGAAUUAUAACCCCUGGUUUCUAUAGAAUAUACAUACUGGCGCCAAAAAACCAAUGUGAAAAAUCCCUCACGUCCAAGUUUAUUG
rnacentral:lncRNA from 1 species